rnacentral:lncRNA from 1 species
GUUCGGAUCAAGUGCUUGAGCAUUAAAAAUUUAAUGACAUGAAUGUCCCUGGACUAAUUUUCCUAGGAAAUCAUGUCCAUGUCAAUAAUAUUGCUACUGCCUAGGUAAAAUGUCAGACCUUUUUUUCAAAAGAUUAAUAAAAAUUUCAUGUUUCAAUAUUCAGUUUUACAGUUGUAUAUGAAUAUGUCCCCAGACUUAUUUUCUUAGGUAAUCGUGUCCAAGUCAAUAACAUUCCUAGGUAAAAUCGUCCAUGCCC